GAGCCAGGUGCCUGGCAGGGCCCCAAGAACUACUUUCAGCAAAUCUUCAGGCAACGCCGAAGGUGGUGAGAAGCAGGAGGCAGAGCGAGAAGGCAGGAAUGGAGGGGCCCCCUAGAGGCACCAGCUUAAGAGGAAGGUUCACGAGCUCAGGAGGACUUGGGGGAGUGCUGCAAGAUGGUGCGAGAAAUGGAGAAGGAAGACAGAACGGGGAAGAAUGGCUCCUCCGUUGACGGAGAUGCGGAAUGGCUCCAGAGUCAGAGGGCUUCCUGAGUCUUCCGGAGUCUAACUGAAGAUCCGGUUGCAGCAGAAGCCCAUUUCUUUCAGCCUUGCCCACCAUGCCUGCCACCCGACCUCCACCUGUCCCCCGAGUGGGGGGC
rnacentral:lncRNA from 1 species